rnacentral:sRNA from 1 species
GUAAGACUUGACUCUUUAAAAAAUUCCGAUCAACAACUU